UCGCAGGAGAAGGGGAAAAAGGGGGUGUAAACCCUAACCACAAAAAAAAUCAUCAAUUGAAAAGGAAAUCGCGGGUUGAUUGUGUGCAUGAACCAAGAAUGAUGAUCCCUUAAGCGUUUCUCACAUCAAGAACGUGUCAAGGAGAGGUCAAGCAUAGGAGGAUAACGGGUCAAGAUAAGGCAAGGUGACAAAUACACUUAUUGGAGUACUCGAGGUAAGUGAAUUUCGAUUCACUUUUUAGUAGGUUUAAUAGAUUUUAAUACUUAUGUUUACGAAACAUCAUGAAAGAACAUGUAAUAAUCAGAAGUACAAAGCCAAUAAUGCCUCAUUAUUGAAGAAGGUUGUAUUUAAGCCGAAAGUAAAUUGGUGGGUUUAAACGGGUCGAAUUUUAUGUGCAUAUGUUGCGUAAUGUAAUGAAAUUCGUUAUGGUUAAGACCUUGGGUAAGAAUUUUUAGUCAUUAUGUAAGGGGAACAUUUCCCGGACCAUUAGGAACAAGUUUUAUAUGAUUCGGUUGUCGGUUAGUGAAUGAACGGAUUGUUUCGUGUUAGUGUAGGAAAUUUUAUAAGUAUAUGUGUAUAGGAAUCCAAAGGGCACGUGGGUUGAAUCAUAGAUUGUCUAUACUAUGUAAAGUUGUGAAUGUGACAUUCCGGCAUAAACCUACAUGUAAAAGAAGCUUGUGUAUAUAUUCGUGAUUAAUUGAUUGUGCGUAGGAAGGAACACUGGCAUGUAUGAAGGUACGCAUGUAUAUAUAUAAGUGUAUAUAUAUAUAUAUAUAUAUAUGUAUGUAUGUAUGAUAAUAAGUACGUAGGUGUGAAUGUGUGUGUGUGAAUGAAUGUUCAAUGCUUAAGACAUAUGCAUGAACGUUAUCAAAGUGUUCGAGUAUUUAUGGAUACUAAUGAUGUGCGUUGAGUUGGAAUGUAAUGUAGGUAUGGGAUCGUUGGCUUCAUGAAGAAAUGGAGCUGGAUUUGGAUAAGAGUAUUUAAGAAAGCGCUUGGACAAUUCCACGACUACUUUAUAGAAUGCUCUACGAAAUUCUAUUAUAUAGUUUAAUGUUGUAUGGUAUGUUAAUGACUAAUGGUUUGGUUGUACGUGGUGUCCACAGGUAUCGCUUGGGUUUUCUCUACAUUUAUUGAAGUGAAGCGGACUUAGUUCGAGUUGAGAGCAAGGAUUGUACGGGGUAGAAUGGUCACAUAGUGUAACUCAUAUAGGUUUUGAAGUAUUAACGUUAUAAAUCCGUUUUAAUGAAUAUAUGGCAUUUCGCAUUUGAACCUUCAUGUGUUUGAUAUGUCUAUUAAAGAACGAAAUUUUUGGGCUCUUGUUUUCUGCUGCGUCGUAUUUUAAGUUAUUACGCGUUAGUCUUACAGGGAAUUGUUCUUAUUACGAACGGGUCAUGCCCGAAUUUUGUUAAAUAAUAGUAUGAUAAUAUUACAUUUUGGAAUGUGUAAUUUGGGCGUAACAAGUUGGUAUCAGAGCCCAGGUUUGAGAGAAUCAAGUAACGGGAGGUAAAUACUUGAACUCAAACCGGUGGGCUCUCGUGACCAAGAGCCCGUACAAUCCAAGACUCGAUCGAGGCCUAAAGGCAAAAGCGAAUGUAAGUAAGUAUUAGAUUAUGUAACUGAAGGAAACUAAUAGUAUGUUAUGUGAAGGGUAAGCGCAAUUGUUGGGAGAGAUGAACUGUGAAUGCGGUCUGGGACCGGCAUCAAGGCAAGUAAUGAGGCGAAUUGACCCCAGGUACGUAAAUCUAACGUGUGGGCGUAUGAAAUGGUACAGUUAACUAAGUGAAAGAAAAAUUUUAAACAAAUUAUAAUAACGACAUGGUAAAUAAGUUUUGAAAAUGUCACACAUGCCGAAACUAAAUCCUUCGGACAUAAGGUGGCGAUUACGCGAAGACACGAAACUAGUACAUGGAAGGUGUACCUGGCCAGUACACAAGAAACGUAUGACGUUCGUGAGACCGUGAUAAUUGUUACAGGUAUGUCCGAUAGAAUUUGGUAGCGGCUAGGUGCGUGGGUGAAAUGGGUAGUAAGACUCUCGGGAGGUUGAGAGUACUAUGUAAGGGUGAAAGGUAUAAGUGAUAAGAAUGAAAUAUUGAGUCCAUAAGAAAGUAUGGAUUGACAAUGUAUGAAUGCAAUGUUUGAAUCCGCGAGACGGAUUCAAGGAAUGAAAGAUAUGAAUGCAAUGCUUGAAUCCGCGAGACGGAUUCAAGGAAUGAAAGAUAUGAAUGCAAUGCUUGAGUCCGCGAGACGGAUUCAAGGAUGAAAGAUGUGAAUGCAAUGCUUGAAUCCGCGAAACGGAUUCAAAGAAUGAAAGAUACGAAUGAUGCAAAUCCCUUGCGGAUUUGGUUAUGCUAAAGAAGGUUAUGAUAAGCUAUGCAAGUCGACCGGUUCAAGUUGAACAAGUCGAGUAAGGAUAGGGUACCAUCCGUUUAGAACGGGUGGUCGUGAAUGCAAUAAUAAAUGUAUGAAGCUCAACCCGUUAUACGGAUAGAACGAAAUAUUUAUGUUGAACACAAUUAACUCGAUGUUACCGAGUCGUAAGUGGUAUGCUUGAAUCUCAUUAUGAGAAUAUAUGCCAUUACCCAUUUAAUUGGAUACUCGAAUGCGUAAAAGAAAUGAAAGUAUAUAAGCGAAUGGAACUAAAAUAUUGGUAUUGUAAGCGAAAUAAGUAUUAUGACUAACCUUUAAAACGGGAAGGGUAAGUAUUUGCAAGAAAACACUGGAACAGUGAAGUUAUGAGGUCGUAAGCAUGUUUGAAUUAAAAAAAAAAAAAGAGUACAAACGUGUACUUCGAUACGCAUGUAUAUAAUAAGAAAUAAGUGGCAGUUGACCUUGAAAAGUCAAACUGCAGAAGCUGAGAAAUAAUUUGUUUCAAACCAAGUGAGUGCUAGAGAAGAAAGGAAAUGUGUAAAGCUGAGAAAUAAUUUGGUUUCAAACCAAGUGAGUGCUAGAGAAGAAAGGAAAUGUGUAGUGUAGUACACCAAAUGAGUUAAAGAAUUACGAAAUAAUGAUUAUGUGUUUACCCGUCAAGAACGGGUCAAACAAUGAGAAUGAUAUAUAUAUUAAGAAAUGGUCAUGUAUUGACCCGUUAUGAAUAGGUUUAACACACUAGUGCUUUAAAAAGAAUCUUGGAAGUAGUAAUAUGUAAACAAGGAGAAGUAAUAAACAUCAUGUUUAAAUGAACUUGAAUGAAAUGUGAUAAUCCCCAAUCUUAUAAUGAGUAUGGCAGAUAUCAUAGUGUGCUAAACCUAUCAAGGUCAGUGAAAGAAUGUUCAUAAGCGAAAGCUCGUCACACAGAUGAACGAGGUCAAUACGAAACAUGGUAUGGAAUGGUGACGAAGAGGACCGACUCGUUGCUGCAUGUUCAAGUACUGCACCAAGGUAGUAAGGUUAGCAAAUUAUUUAAUAUAUGAAGGUACGAUGCUUGAAUCCCUCAAACCUACGCUCUCGUGAAAGUGUGUUCGUUUCUAAGCGCCACACAAGUAAGUGAUUUAAGGAUUUCGAGCUAUGCUUUUAGAUGAAAACGGAAAUGGGUUAUGGAUAAAUUACUAUUAUAACCUGGGUUGGGACGUUAUGGGAUGUUAGGGAAGGUUUCGGGACUGCCCGAGACCAUUUCUGGUUGGAAAAAGGACCCGGGAACAAAAAAAUUUUGGUCAAACAGCGUCUGCACAGCAGAGAGCCCGUCGGCGACGGCCUUUAUGCCGUCGGCGACGGCACCCCUCCACCAGACGCGCUAACUGUCUGUCUACGGGCAAUGUUUAGCGACGGGACCUUCCCGAGCCCGUCGGCGACGCACCAUGUGCCGUCGGCGACGGGUCCCCCUUAUCUUCUUAUGCUGAAAUUGUUUGUUUAUUAGGCUAAGGUCCUUAAUUCAGUUCUAGCAUUCAUUAAACACUAAGAACACCCCAGAUUGAUGAUGAAGCUAGGAAAUUCAAGACAACUAUCGUGUUUUAAUGAUGAAUGUGUGGGAAGUUAUGUAUGCGAACGAAUGAAAUAAGUAACACAUCUAGAAUGUUUGUAAAGAAAGAUUGGGUAAGUUUAUAAAAAAAUUUACACUAUCAUUGAAAAAGUACCUCCAUAGGAAUAGGUAUGAUAUGUUUAAUAUGUACGAAUGAACGAGAUUGUAUGCGGAAAUGAAUAAAUUAAUGAUGACUAGGGAUUGGUUUUCGCAAGGAAGUUUGAAAUCUUGAUAAGUAUGAAUAAUAUAUCAGGAUGCUAGUUUCAAAUUAUGGACUAUGGGAUCUGUGAUUAGGCAAAUUCUCACAACAUGCUUAUGUAAGUCGUCCAAGGUAACUUGAAUGAGUGAGGGAACGAAGAAUAAAACUAGACGGGUUGUAGAAGAAAAGAAAGAGGUUUCGGGGACGAAACCUUCUUUAAGGGGGGUAGAUUUGUAACACCCCAAAACUCGAAUUAUUAAAUUCGUAGGAAUGUCACCAUGUGUAAUUAAAUAAAAUACAAUAACUAAGUUAUUAAACUUAGUUAAAUGCCUAAUAAACAAGUUAAGGAAUGAAACUUGUGGCAACUAUAAUGGAAUGGUAAACUUGAGGGACUUAGAUUGCCAAAAAGAAAAUAUAUUUUAUUAAAACAAAAAAAAAAUCACACACACAAGGUGUGUGUCUGCGUACGAUCGCAGGAGAAGGGGAAAAAGGGGGUGUAAACCCUAACCACAAAAAAAAUCAUCAAUUGAAAAGGAAAUCGCGGGUUGAUUGUGUGCAUGAACCAAGAAUGAUGAUCCCUUAAGCGUUUCUCACAUCAAGUAAGUCAAAUUUCAUGAUUUGGUGAUGAUUGAUGAAACGGGUUGUGUGUAAUCUGUGAUUAAAUGUGUGAUUAAACCUGAAUGUUACAUGAUAUGCUCAUAUAGAAGUUGUAUUAUGUGCAAUUUUGAUUAUAUUGAUAGUUUGAAGCAAAACCCAUUUGUAUGUCAAAAGAUGAAUGGAUAUUGUGAAACCCUAGAUGCUAAUUAGUAUGGUAUCAAUGAUUUAAACAAUGUGUUGAUGAAAUAUUGAUAAGUAAUUGAUGUUACAACCAUAUGUUCAUAGUUAGGAUGAAAGAUUGUUAUGAAUUUGAUUGAUUGUUAAUAAGUUAUGUGAAGAAUUAGUAGGAAUCAUGCUUUAAAAGCUUGUACAUAAUGUUUUUUAAAUGCGAAACCCGCCAAGUGUUUGAUAAAAUGCCUACAAAGUUUGUGUAAAAUAGUUAGUAAAUUCGUCACUUUUGACAGCCUUAGAUAGUCAUCUUGUAAAGGCCGUAUCUCAUUCGUUAUUAGGAGUUAGACAACGAGCCUUAUAUCGUUGAAAAGGUUGUUUCGCAUAUUACAUUUCAUAUUUGGCCAUAAGAGGCUGGUUAUGAGAUUAAGUGGGUCAAAACAGCAUGAAAAGUUAGUAAAUUCGUCACUUUUGACAGCCUUAGAUAGUCAUCUUGUAAAGGCCGUAUCUCAUUCGUUAUUAGGAGUUAGACAACGAGCCUUAUAUCGUUGAAAAGGUUGUUUCGCAUAUUACAUUUCAUAUUUGGUCAUAAGAGGCUGGUUAUGAGAUUUAGUGGGUCAAAACAGCAUGAAAAGUUAGUAAAUUCGUUUUGACAGCAAGCUGUUUGGAAGCAUUUCAGCUUCUGUGCUGAUUUUGUAAAAAUCAUAUAAAAUCAUAGGAAUGUCCGAUUGUUACGAUCUUUAUAUGCUUAGAAAGAUCUCUGAGUGUAGAUCAUUUCAUAUUUGAACAUGAAGAACUAAAUCAGAAGAUAAAUGGGUUAAAAUGUGUCGUGAACAGCUGCUGCGCAGAAAGUUGCUGCACAAAUUUUAGUAUAAAUAUUCAGUAAAAAUAGUUGUAUUGUUAUGCACACUUGUAUGAAUCAUGAACUACUGAUUUUAAUAAAUUAUUAGUAAGUUAUUUGAUUGUUUUAAGUGUCUAAAACACUUACCAACUAGUUUAUGCAUAUAAUUGCACCAACGGGUCGAAACGGGUUGUUGAUAGAAAAUAGUAGAAUGGAUGUGUAAAAAACCAAGGUGUUAAGAAAUGGUAUGAAAUGUUUAACAUAUGAAGCAAGUUGCCUAACUUAGAAAAGGUUAUCAUUCUAAGUAUGGAAUUUUGAAAGAAUAACGAACAUGAUGUAAAUACAUAAUUAUGCAUGCUAGAAGCUCAUGUAUCACUGUUGUGAUGAUGGAAUGAUAAAUAGUUAGAUUGAUUAGCAUUGUAGUAUUAUGAUACAUGUUGAACUCGUUAAGCGAUUGACACGUGAAUAGAAGUGUGAUUAGUGAUGCGUAUGAUUAUGUAUACUAACUAUUGAAUGGAUGUAAUGGAAUGAGAUAAUAGGAACGUGUCAAGGAGAGGUCAAGCAUAGGAGGAUAACGGGUCAAGAUAAGGCAAGGUGACAAAUACACUUAUUGGAGUACUCGAGGUAUGGGAUCGUUGGCUUCAUGAAGAAAUGGAGCUGGAUUUGGAUAAGAGUAUUUAAGAAAGCGCUUGGACAAUUCCACGACUACUUUAUAGAAUGCUCUACGAAAUUCUAUUAUAUAGUUUAAUGUUGUAUGGUAUGUUAAUGACUAAUGGUUUGGUUGUACGUGGUGUCCACAGGUAUCGCUUGGGUUUUCUCUACAUUUAUUGAAGUGAAGCGGACUUAGUUCGAGUUGAGAGCAAGGAUUGUACGGGGUAGAAUGGUCACAUAGUGUAACUCAUAUAGGUUUUGAAGUAUUAACGUUAUAAAUCCGUUUUAAUGAAUAUAUGGCAUUUCGCAUUUGAACCUUCAUGUGUUUGAUAUGUCUAUUAAAGAACGAAAUUUUUGGGC
rnacentral:lncRNA from 1 species